rnacentral:rRNA from 1 species
UACAGAGGUCUCGAGCGUUGUUCGGAUUCAUUGGGCGUAAAGGGUGCGUAGGCGGCGGGGUAAGUCUGAUGUGAAAUCCCGGGGCUCAACCCUGGAACUGCAUUGGAUACUGCCUUGCUAGAGAACUGGAGAGGAGACUGGAAUUUACGGUGUAGCAGUGAAAUGCGUAGAGAUCGUAAGGAAGACCAGUGGCGAAGGCGAGUCUCUGGACAGUUCCUGACGCUGAGGCACGAAGGCCAGGGGAGCAAACGGG